CGGGUGAGUAAUGUAUGGGGAUCUGCCUGAUGGGGGGGGAGUAACUACUGGAAACGGUAGCUAAUACCGCAUAAUGUCUACGGACCAAAGCGGGGGACCUCCGGGCCUCGCGCCAUCAGAUGAACCCAUAUGGGAUUAGCUAGUAGGUAAGGUAACGGCUUACCUAGGCGACGAUCCCUAGCUGGUCUGAGAGGAUGAUCAGCCACACUGGGACUGAGACACGGCCCAG
rnacentral:rRNA from 1 species